rnacentral:miRNA from 1 species
UGCCAUGCCAAUCUUCGGGC